rnacentral:rRNA from 1 species
AGCGAACGCUGGCGGCAGGCUUAACACAUGCAAGUCGAGCGGGCCUUUCGGGGUCAGCGGCGGACGGGUGAGUAACGCGUGGGAACGUGCCCUCUGGUUCGGAAUAACUCAGGGGAACUUGAGCUAAUACCGGAUACGCCCUUUUGGGGGAAGGCUUGCUGCCGGAGGAUCGGCCCGCGUCUGAUUAGCUAGUUGGUGAGGUAACGGCUCACCAAGGCGACGAUCAGUAGCUGGUCUGAGAGGAUGAUCAGCCACACUGGGACUGAGACACGGCCCAGACUACUGCGGGAGGCAGCAGUGGGGAAUAUUGGAAAAUGGGCGCAAGCCUGAUCCAGCCAUGCCGCGUGAGUGAUGAAGGCCUUAGGGUUGUAAAGCUCUUUUAUCCGGGACGAUAAUGACGGUACCGGAAGAAUAAGCCCCGGCUAACUUCGUG